CUAACAAACUUUUUAGUAUCUGCCAAGCCGUUUCUUUCAUCGCCGGCUGGCGCCCGUGGAUCGGCGCGGUCGCAAGUAUUUUUCUGCCGCCGGCAAGACGGUGAAGAGAAGGGCUGGCCAACGAUGGUCCGAUCUGGUAUGGGCAAGCUCGGCGGUAGCGGUAGCAACUCCAAAUCUGCAUUUAGGCGAGCUCUUUCGAAAGUACAUACUAAUAGGCAAGAACAGGGGUCUGCCAAAAAAGCUUCCGAUGGCUCUCGCUCAAAGAAACGGAGCUCCGUCAAGAAGAAACCAUGGAAGGACAAGUUGUACACCAGGUGUGCUCCUUCUAUCAUUAUAGAUCUCUUGGAAGACCUAGGUGAGCAGCAGAGAAGGCUUGUAGAAGAGAUGGGUUUUCAGGGAUUAUAUAGUCUGAAGCUACAUAAGCUGAAUAAACCGAUAGGAGCCUGGCUCCUAAGUAAAUUUGAUGCGGAAUUGUUGCUUUUUUUCGCUGGGACAAGCAGGGAGCUCAAGAUGACACCCGAGGAUGUUAAUCGUGUGAGUGGACUCCCUUGUUCCGGCCAGAUCAUAAUACCUCCAAGCACACAGGAUGUUAGUUCCAUGAAAGCAUAUUUUUGUGGUGUUUUUAGAAAAGAUUCAUGGGAUGAAAUCACCAUCAGUAGCCUUUUGAAGAUAAUUUCAAAAAAAUAUGUUGAUCCGAUGACAAAUGAUGAGAUCCUCCAAUUCAAGACCGCGUUUGCAUUUUGUGUUGUUACCAAAUUCUUAGCUCCACAGUCCCUUAAUAACUUCAUAUCAACACGAUAUCUGAAACCGGUGUUUGAUAUGGCGAACAUUCAUACAUACAACUAGGCACACUUUGUACUCGAGGAGCUCCGACAGGCCGCACUAUCCCUUGCAAAAAACAUUGGAUACAUCAAUGGAUGCAUGUUAAUACCUCAGAUUCACUACCUGGACAGCUUGGAAAUUGGCAAAGAUUGCCCCCCCCCCCACAACAUUCUUCCAAGGUUUGCUGCAUACAACGAUAGCGUGGUCGACAAACUCAUCAAACGUGACAUAGUUCUGCAUAAUCGACUGCCUUUUCCGACGUACGGAAAAUUAAAGAUACGAAAUCCCCACAGCAUCCGCUACGAGUAUGGAGCAAUUGCACAACAGUCAGCGAACACUCCUACUACUCAUAGAACGUUUAAUUCUCUAGUUAACUUGGAGACCCCAACCUUCAACAUUGGAUUGAGCCAAUUUGAGCACGACAACAGCAUCUCAGUACGCAACCAAAUCCCCCGAGUGUCUGCAAACUUAUCGACGGAAUUCAACAUGGUAGCUGAUACAGACGUAGUGCCAGAUACACCAGAUCGGCAGCAACAAGCUGCACAAACAGAUUUUCCUGUCCAAACUCCUACAUCCAUAUCACCUCAUUCUUUAUUACAAGAAAUGAGUGCGGCAAGAAUAUCGAUACAUGAGGAAUGUGGUCUCCCAAAAGUUCAACCCAAAACAAGGAGGAGAAUCAUUGGAGAACCAUCUGAUAUGCUUGUAAACAUACCAAAGCGAAUAAUUAGACCCAGUAGAAUGGUUCAGUCCCCAUUUCUGUGCAAACAAUACAUAAGUGUGAGGGUCGAUGUCAAGGCAUUAGAAGAUUUAUACACAUAUACUAUAUCCAUUACUAAUGAAGAACAACUGAGAAAAAUCUGGGUACACAUGUCUGAACCUGUGCCCAGGUUUUUGAAACUGAAAUAGAUACAAGAAGCCCUUAGUCAAGAUGCUGAACUUCAAGAUGAUGCUUUCAAUGUUGCUGUACAAGCACUGUUCGAGGAUGAGAUAGAAAGGUUUACUGGUAGCGAUUUCUUAGGCUGGAGGCAUUUCAUAAAUCAAGAUUUUGCGAUGCAUGCAACCGCUGGCGGGGCAGACUGGAACGCCGAGGAGCAUGUCUACUUAUUCAAUGACAUUCAUAUACCAUACGACGUGUCAAAAAGCCGACUGCUACAUGUCCCUUUGCACCAACCAUUUCAUUUCUCUUUGUACACAUUCAACAUGGAGAACGAGAAGAUUCAAAUCUUGGAUCCCUUUAGGGAUAUAAGCAAAGGAGGGAAGGACAUAGAAGCUCGACACUCUAAGACGAAAGACCAUGUUGCUAGGGCAUUACAGGAGUGCAUGAUGUUUUCCUUUCCAGAUUGGAAACGUGAUAUUUCAAUCUGGCAGCAUGAGUUCCCCACAAAUAUUCCAGCAAUUACUAACAGGAUGGAAACUGCUUUCCAUGUACUGAGUUACAUGAAAAAUUGGGAUGCAAGAACCUUGGUCAACCCACUACCCUAUGAUUCAAGAGAGGCACGGAAGGACUUUCUCGCGAACCUCCUAUCCUUCAAGACUAACGAAGCAAUAAUCCCAGAGAGUGUCGACCGGCUGGUGAAAGCACUCAGGAGAAAUUAACACAACCACCUGCCGAUACGAAUAACUAUGAAGAGCAGACAGAAUACCCAUUAAGAUCAUACCGCAUUACCUAUUUUCUACACUCUGUAAUAGAAGACAUAGUACCAUCAACUUAUAGCAUAAUUUUAUGUUCCAUACAUGGAUUAUUACCCUUUCCAACCACCACUGUUAUUCCUAA